AGAGUUCUCCAGAUCCUCCAAGCGCCUUCGGCGCCACCACACCAGACACUCACUGUUCACGAGGCCUCAAAGCGUGGAGGCGGUGGCCGAUUCCCCGGUGACCGCCAAUUUGGUCCCAAGACACUUCAGGAUCUCCCAACCGAUGGAGGACAGAGAGGUUCCAAGAGAGGGCGCCAAAGGCGACGCGCUGGCGGCCAGCUCCAAGCCAACCAGACCCAUUGCGUCCGUCUGCAGGAACCUGUCUCUUCACCCUGCUUUGGACACUGAGCUUCAGAGGAUCUGGCUGCGUGCUGAAUCAACGCCAGGGCGCCGCCUAGAGGUCGGUCGCGUCCUCGGUCUCGCUCACCGACCACAGAGCUGCUUGUCCAAGCCACAGUGUCAGACUUAAACAAAACAAAACAAAAUUCCUGCUUGGGUCAGAGACUUGGUUUCUGGGACCGUUGACUUAUCAGAAACUUGCCUCCUCUCUGCUUCAUAAUGAACCCCAGGAAGAGAGAGGGACCAGGGAUCUCAAAGAAAUAUUUGUCUUUGUGACACCGACUAGGUGGAAGAAAAGUCUCAACAUGUCAGUUUCUUUUAAGGAUCUUAGAUUCUGGGUCUAGGUCUGCGCUAGUUCGUCUCACUACCCAGAUUGCUCAGCCUAAGCUCCUUCUCCAGUCUGUGCCAGGAUGAUGCUUUAACUUCACGAAGAAAGGGGCUAUGGAAAAGUUACCCUUUUCUCUUAUAGAUCCAUCACGAGGUUUCUAGAUAAUUUGGAGAUGGACCUGUUCUGGAAAAGAAUUUGGAAAACAUCUGGGUGUGUGUGUGCAGUGAUAGGAAAAAAUUGCCCAAAUAGCCUUUACUUACUAAGUAACCUCCCACCGGUGUCCCAGCAAUAGUCAAGGGGGUACUUGGAGACACCAGUAGCCCUGCCCAGGGAAGUUUGUGCUGAGCCUUUGAAAGCUGAUUUUUGAGAUAAGGAUGACCUUGGAAGGAAACAGUUUGGCAUCCGACCAACUGGGUUGAGGUGUCCUUAAAGUUCAUGCAAGCUUCUUUUUUGAGACUGAGAUCAAAUGCCUGAGUUGUGGAGCUGCAGAGCCUCCGAGAACACGCGCUCCGAGAACGCGAGUGUGUAUGCACACAAGGUUGCUGAGCUAAGGGUGUAGCCUCUUCCAGUUUUCCAAGGAGCCCCUGUCUCCAGUCAUGGAGCUACAGAGACCAGGCCAGCAGUGGGCUGGGAGCCAGCACACUGAUCUUGAGCCAUGGCUGUCCCUGACCAGGCAACUCUAUUGGAGAUAGAAAAAGAAUAGUUUUGAGUAGCUGAGGACCACUCUGUCCUUCUUCCUCCCUCUCCUAUAUCUUCUAGAGGAAAAUGCUAAUAGAAGGUGUCACUGUGUCACCACAGUGUUUCCAAUAGAAGUGGAUAAUGAUGAAGGCCAAAGGAGGGAGCACACAGUGAGGAUACAUGAUGGGCAGAGCUGGAGGGGCUCCCCCAUGUCAUUUUGGGAAAUAAAUAUUCUGUAGGCAUAAGGUACUUCCUGUCACAGGUGCUCUUCCCUCUUGGUGCCAGGUCCUCCCACAGGGUGGACUAAGACACUACUGCUCACCCCUAGCCAAUCUUUGGCAGAAUGAGACUGCCAAUUCAGCUUUUUUUUUUUUUUUAAUAGGAGACACCUUGGUAUUUUCUGAGACCCCUUUAAAAAAUCUAUCUGUAUUUUUUUAAUCUCCAGAGGAGGGAGACUUGGCAACACUUCCUGGAGGGAGGGAUGAGUUGGCUAGGUUGACACUGCACCUGUGUGUCUGUGGGGCAAGGGACCCCUCCUGGGUCUGCAGCUGAGCCUCAGCCCAGUACCUGAGCUGAGCCUGAGAUUAUCUCAGCCUUUUGGGUGUAUUUUAGACCUGAAGCUUUGGAGCUUGGUGAUGAAUAAUUGGGGUGCAGGGAAUCCCUUUGCUGUCCCCCUAAAUCGCAUAAUCAUGUACUUCCUUCGAGUACACAAAGAGGGUCAGAAGCCACUAUCAUGGCUCCUGGUUCUCUGGAGUCCCCGGAGAAAGAGAAUUUUUUUUUUCUAUUAGUUUUGCGCUGCAGUGCUCUGGUAGAACAAAUCCGGAUUCCACGAAACUGUGGAGGGGGUGGGGGAGCAAACUGCCCAUGACUGAAGGCAGUGGCAACUUGAGGUCCACUGGUUGCUUUGAUUUGGUUUUGAAGCUUGUAAAAGAAAGGGAGAGAAGCAAGCAGUGAGACUCGGGGACAAGGAACGCCACUGUGCUGUCAUUUGUGCUUUGUACGCGGGACAAGGAGAUCCCCGCAGGGUUCACCUCUGGAGCGGCUCACUGCUCAGCCCCCUUCAAGCCCUGAGAGUUUUCCAAGUCUUAUCCCCUGUCCUAUUUUAACAAGUACCUGGCAAUAAACGGGUGGGGCAGGACAAAGGUCUGGAAGCCGGAGAGCAGCGGAAAACCCUAAACCCCCGCAACAAGCAGAUAGCACAUCAGCUGGGCUUGUAGCGAGGAGUGCAGGGCUCCCAGCUCUACCUAGCAGGCUGCUAGGAGCCCCCCCCCCCGCAACUAGAGUCCUUGGUUGGGUUCUGGGUUCUAGGGGCCCAGGUUAGGUGUCCACAGGCUUCUAGUCCUGGCCACGGAGCUAGAGAGAAAGGCACCGAGACCCGGGAGACUUCUCUCCACGCGGGCAGAGUCUGCAAGCUCUAGCCUCGUAAAUUGUUCUCCUUGCCUUAUACCCGCCCGGGUCGUGUUUCUUUUCAGGACAAGAGGGGAUAUAAACUGUUUGAAGUUCAUCAGCACGGUGAAGUUUUAUUGUAUUUCCGGUCCCUAAGAUUUACACCCUGAAAAGAGAAGCCGGCAGCCUGGCAGACUCCCUCCAUACCUCCGAGUUUCCACGCCAGAGACACACAGUGGCCAAGCGGACACUUUGCUUUCCGGGAGCAGGGAGGGAGGGAGCCGGCUCCGACCGACUCUCCCUCAAAGGCUCAGGUAAGUCUAAGAGGCCUCUGAUAGUUGUGGUGACUGAGCCACAACCUGUGAGGAUGUGCGAAGUGACUUUGUAGGGAUGGAAGAGAGCGGGAGACAAGGAUGUACUCAGACUAGAGAAAGCAAACUUGUUCUCUGCCUUUCCCCAGCCAGGUCCCCCAACAUCUCCACUUCUUUGUAAAUGCGGAAAAGAGUGGCCUACCUGGGGCUGUCCAGCAGCUGUGAAACCAGAGUCCUAUCGUAUGUCAGCAGCAGAGUGACUGUUUCAGCUUUAUUGUUUGUGCUCUAGAAUUCAAGGUGCCUUCUAACCCUGACUU
rnacentral:lncRNA from 1 species